rnacentral:tRNA from 1 species
UCCCUGCUGGCUCAGUUGGUGAAGAAUCUGCCUCCAGUACAGUAGAACCAGGUUCGAUCCCUGGGUUGGGAA